ensembl:lncRNA
CAGUUGUCUUGGUUAGUGGUGUUGCUAGAUGCAGUGGUCUUGGUUAGUGGUGUUGCUAGAUGCAGUUGUCUUGGUUAGUGGUGUUGCUAGAUGCAGUGGUCUUGGUUAGUGGUGUUGCUAGAUGCAGUGGUCUUGGUUAGUGGUGUUGCUAGAUGCAGUGGUUAGCGGUGUUGCUAGAUGCAGUGGUUAGCGGUGAUGCUACAUGGCAGUGGUCUUGGUUAGCAGUGUUGCUAGAUGGCAGUGGUCUUGGUUAGAGGUGUUGCUAGAUGUCAGUGGUCUUGGUUAGCGGUGUUGCUAGAUGCCAGUGGUCUUGGUUAGCGGUGUUGCUAGAUGGCAGUGGUCUUCGUUAGAGGUGUUGCUAGAUAGCAGUGGUCUUGGUUAGCAGUGUUGCUAGAUGCAGUGGUCUUGGUUAGCGGUGUUGCUAGAUGCAGUGGUUAGCGGUGUUGCUAGAUGCAGUGGUUAGCGGUGUUGCUAGAUGGCAGUGAUCUUGGUUAGCGGUGUUGCUAGAUGGCAGUGGUUAGCGGUGUUGCUAAAUGGCAGUGGUCUUGGUUAGCGGUGUUGCUAGAUGGCAGUGGUCUUGGUUAGAGGUGUUGCUAGAUGGCAGUGGUCUUCGUUAGAGGUGUUGCUAGAUAGCAGUGGUCGUCGUUAGCGGUGUUGCUAGAUGCAGUGGUCUUGGUUAGCGGUGUUGCUAGAUGUAGUGGUUAGCGGUGUUGCUAGAUGGCAGUGGUCUUGGUUAGCAGUGUUGCUAGAUGCAGUGGUCUUGGUUAGCGGUGUUGCUAGAUGCAGUGGUUAGCGGUGUUGCUAGAUGCAGUGGUUAGCGGUGUUGCUAAAAGGCAGUGGUCUUGGUUAUUGGUGUUGCUAGAUGGCAUUGGUCUUGGUUAGAGGUGUUGCUAAAUGUCAGUGGUUAGAGGUGUUGCUAAAUGGCAUUGGUCUUGGUUAGCGGUGUUGCUAGAUGCAGUGGUUAGCGGUGUUGCUAAAAGGCAGUGGUCUUGGUUAUUGGUGUUGCUAGAUGGCAGUGGUCUUCGUUAGAGGUGUUGCUAAAUGUCAGUGGUUAGAGGUGUUGCUAGAUGGCAGUGGUCUUGGUUAGCAGUGUUGCUAGAUGCAGUGGUUAGCGGUGUUGCUAGAUGCAGUGGUCUUGGUUAGCGGUGUUGCUAGAUGGCAGUGGUCUUGGUUAGAGGUGUUGCUAGAUGGCAGUGGUCUUCGUUAGAGGUGUUGCUAGAUGCAGUGGUUAGCGGUGUUGCUAAAAGGCAGUGGUCUUGGUUAUUGGUGUUGCUAGAUGGCAUUGGUCUUGGUUAGAGGUGUUGCUAAAUGUCAGUGGUUAGAGGUGUUGCUAAAUGGCAUUGGUCUUGGUUAGCGGUGUUGCUAGAUGCAGUGGUUAGCGGUGUUGCUAA